UUUGUGAUUUUUUUUUUUGCGUUAUUGUCACUGAAAUGUUAUCAUCAAACAGGAAAUAUUGAUCAAAGACAACAGAGGUAAACACAAAUCCCGUUUUUAAUUUUUUAUUAUUAGGGAGAAAAAAAUCAAACCUACAUGGACCUGUGUGAAAAAGUGAUUGCCCCUAAACCAAGUAACUGGUUAGGCCAGACAUGGCAGCAACAAAUGCAAUCAAGCAUUUGCAAUAACUUGCAAUGAGUCUCUUACAAUGCUGUGGAGGAAAUUUGGCCCAAAGAGGUGUUGUAAUACAGCCACACUUCAGGAUUUUUGAGCAUGAUCCUUUGGAGGGUCAAGGCGCAGGAUUCUAGUCGGAACUUUAAUAAGGCCACUCCAAAGUUCAUUUUGUUUUUCUUUAGCCGUUCAUCCAGGCUGGUGUGUUUUGGACCAUUGUCCAGCUGCUGAACCUGUUUGUUUCAAGUCGAAGCACCAGGAGAUUACCGAGGAAUCUGGCUGGCCUGCAUUGCGGGCCAUCUCAACACCAGCAGGUGGUUAAGCAAGGUGUGCAUGUAAAUGGUGCAUUCCUAGGCAAACAACAGAAGAGAGUUUUUGUUGCCAUGAGAGUCAAUUUAUUCACCAGAAAAUGUCAGAUUAUCCAGACCAACUACAGUGCAUGACGGAGCACCCAGGAUUUAUUGACAGUCUUAACCCGUGGAUACUGGAGGUUGCCUACUUACAAUUCCAGGGUCACGGGAGUCCUGGAGCCUAUCCCAGCUGUCAUCAAGCACAAGGAAAUGGAGAUCCCGACUGGACAUCCCGGAGAAAACGCACACAGGCACGGGGAGAACAUGCAAACUCUACACAGGUGGACUGGGAUUGAACCGGAGUCCUCAUAACUUUAGCUUUACAGCUGCUCCUCCGUGUCACCCUACUAAAAGCAGCAUUUGUCCAAUCAAUGCUUGUUCAAACAAAGUCCCAUUCUGGAAAAUUGUCAUUUUCUUAUUUUCAGGUUAAUGCGACAUACAUCUUAUAAACAGCUUGUCAGAUGGUGUUGAUAAAUUUUUGGCAGAAAUAUUCGCAUGCCACUUCCCUCCUGCUGUGUGUCAAAGAUUCAUGACACCUUUCCUGGUUCAGAGGGCUAAGA